GGGAGCUUCAGGGUGGAAGUGUUUCCUCCAGCCCAGGGAGGACAUAAAGUCGUCCCAUACUCUGACCGUUGCGAGUGUGGUGGGGUAUAGAGUUACUUUGGGGCCUCUUAGUGUUCUCGGCGUCCAUAGGUAAUUAAGCAGUGAGGUGUGCUUAAGUUGGUCUUGUUCCAUAUCCACCCACUGUGUUACCCCCUUUUGGGCGUGUAUGUGUAUACUCGUUGCUAGGAUAGAGGCUUUGUAAUAGAGUCCAAUGUUGGGCAUGCCUAUACCCCCCGUUUGGGUCGUCCGUUGUAGGAGACCUAGGGGCAGCCUGGGUUUCUUACCCCCCCAGAUGAAGGAGUUGCAUAUGGCUUGUAACGAUUUGUGGAUUGCGGCUUGGAUGUCUAUUGUGAGCAUGCGGAAUAUAUACAGUAACCUUGGCAAAAGCAUCAUCUUAUAUGCAUUCACUCGGCCCAGCCAGGACAAUUUUGCAUUCUUCCAUUUAUGUAUUUCUGUGGUGCAUAGAUGUAUGAGGGGCUUAUAAUUGAGCUUUACUAUGUUGCUAAUAGGAGCGGCGAUCUUAACCCCUAAGUACGUUAUAGAUGUUGUUCGCCAGUCGAGUUCAAAGGAGUUCUUAAGGGUAGUUACAUUUGGCCCUGGUAGGUUUAUCGGUAGGGCUUGUGUUUUCUCCUUAUUCAGACGGUAGUAUGAUAUUCUACCAUAGUCUGUCAGUAGAGUUAGUAGAGGGGGCAGCGAUUGUUCUGGAUUUGAAAGCGCCACGAAAAUAUCGUCCGCAAACAUCGCCAGACAAUAUUCCCUGUCCCCCAGUGUGAUACCGGUUAUGGCCUGGUGUUGUCUUAUCU